UACGUAGUUCCCGAGCGUUGUCCGGAUUUAUUGGGCGUAAAGCGAGCGCAGGUGGUUUAUUAAGUCUGGUGUAAAAGGCAGUGGCUCAACCAUUGUAUGCAUUGGAAACUGGUAGACUUGAGUGCAGGAGAGGAGAGUGGAAUUCCAUGUGUAGCGGUGAAAUGCGUAGAUAUAUGGAGGAACACCGGUGGCGAAAGCGGCUCUCUGGCCUGUAACUGACACUGAGGCUCGAAAGCGUGGGGAGCAAACAGG
rnacentral:rRNA from 1 species